UCAAUUCAGGAUCCGUGGGAACUCCUCUGCACUCCUGUGACUUCAUGCAGCUGCUGGCUGUCCAGUGCUAAUGCCACCUCUAGGGUGCCUAUAAGGCCAGCAUGUUAAAGCACUUUAUUUUCAGUUUAAACCUCGUGAAAGAUAGGAGGAAUUGGUGAAAUUAUCGAAGAUUUUCAGUCUAAGAGAAAGUGUGCUUGACUAAGACUGAUGAUCAAAACUUUCCUCUAUUGUUACCAAGCUCAGUGAGUCCUGGGUGAUAACCACCUCACCUUACAUAAAAGAAGCCAGUCCUAUUCUGUCAGGUGCAGAAUACAGCAAAUUCCCUACUUGACGUUGCUGGUACUUCAUUAAACAGAGGAUGAGAGAUUUGACAGCUGGAAUUACUACAGGAAUCUUCAGAAGACCCCUGCUAUGCCCCUUAGAUGUGUAUGACAGAGUCAUUAAAUCAUUGCACACAGUUAUGCUAAUUGGCAAAAAGAUAAUGUGCUGUAUGUGGGAGCGCAAGAUUCUGUCUCCAAGUGCUGAACAUGGAGAUCACUGAGUUGAGGCAGGAUAAGCUGGCAGAACUGUGUCCCCCCACCUUUUCUGGAUCUUUGAGCUCCCGCCUUCCUUACGGCUAAUGAUGAGGCACCAGAAUUGUCCAAAUUUUGAAGUCCUCUCCAGUACCACAUACAGCAGUGCUAUGUGAGGUAUUGCUUUAUGAAAGCUGACGCCCAGUUGCUUUCCCUCAGACAAGUCUUUCUGCUGCUCUUACAGCUGUGAAUGGUGGAGGAUUUGGGCUUCUGCUGAGAUCCUGCCUUCUGAGAAGAGCUCACCAGAAUGGCCGGUGCGGGCUGUGGGGAGGCAGAGCCCGGGCUGCUGCAGAGUGCUGCAUCCAUCAGCAUCCCUGCAUGGGGACUGCUGCUGUGCGUGGAACAGGACAGCCCCUGCCCAUGUCAGCGAGAGAAAGUGUUGCAGCCUUACUGCUCAUGGUAUUCAAAUGCACCUGCCUGCACUUUUCUUCUAUGUGAGUGGAAAUUGAGCAAGGAAACAAUAUUUGGGGGACAAAUUCAAUUAACCAUGAAAAAGAGGAAUUUCACCAGAAGACUAGCCACAGAUUUUCAUUUCAAGAGCAACUCGUGUCAUUCAUUUGUCUUAAGAGAAGCACAAGGCCAGCUGUUCCUUCAGCUAUGAUUCCAGCUUUUGCUUUUUGACGUGCCGAUACCAGUGCCUUCCUGUGCAGCAAUUCUCACCAUUCUUCCUGUUCAAGGCCAUUUCUGCUCUUCAUCCCAGUGUCGCUGCCAGCACCAGCCUCCUGAAGUCUCUGCAAAAUACCCUUUCACAUGGCAACAGAGAUGUGGACCUUCUCUCCUUCUCCCUUUGAACCCUUGGAGGCUCACCUCAAACUUUGCUCUUCAAGUACCUUGAUGUUAAUCUUAUUCUGGAUGAAUGCAGGAGUUUGAAUAAGCACAUCUGGAAGCCAGCUUUGCAGAGUAUUUCCAGAGCAGCAAGCAAUACUGGGAACUAUGUAAUGGUGAUGGGCCUGGUGCGGUCCUGCAGUCCCGAGCCUGUUCUUCGAGCAAUAAAGAUGACAGAUCUUUCUGAAAACCCCGUGCAUAAGAAUAUGUGGACCCUUGAAGUGGAGGAUUUGC